rnacentral:rRNA from 1 species
UACGUAGGGUGCAAGCGUUGUCCGGAAUUAUUGGGCGUAAAGCGCACGUAGGCGGCUUGGCAAGUCGGAUGUGAAAUCCCUCGGCUCAACCAAGGAAGUGCAUCCGAAACUGCUGAGCUUGAGUACUUAAGAGGAUCGCGGAAUUCCCGGUGUAGAGGUGAAAUUCGUAGAUAUCGGGAGGAACACCAGUGGCGAAGGCGGCGAUCUGGGAAGAUACUGACGCUGAGGUGCGAAAGCGUGGGGAGCGAACAGG